rnacentral:rRNA from 1 species
AUUGAACGCUGGCGGCAGGCCUAACACAUGCAAGUCGAGCGGCAGCGGGAAAGUAGCUUGCUACUUUUGCCGGCGAGCGGCGGACGGGUGAGUAAUGCCUGGGAAAUUGCCCAGUCGAGGGGGAUAACAGUUGGAAACGACUGCUAAUACCGCAUACGCCCUACGGGGGGAAGCAGGGGACCUUCGGGCCUUGCGCGAUUGGAUAUGCCCAGGUGGGAUUAGCUAGUUGGUGAGGUAAUGGCUCACCAAGGCGACGAUCCCUAGCUGGUCUGAGAGGAUGAUAGGCCACACUGGAACUGGGACACGGUCCAGACUCCUACGGUAGGCAGCAGUGGGGAAUAUUGCACAGUGGGGGAAACCCUGAUGCAGCCAUGCCGCGUGUGUGAAGAAGGCCUUCGGGUUGUAAAGCACUUUCAGCGAGGAGGAAAGGUCAGUAGCUAAUACCUGCUGGCUGUGACGUUACUCGCAGAAGAAGCACCGGCUAACUCCGUGCCAGCCGCCGCCGUAAAAC